UACGCAGGGGGCUAGCGUUGUCCGGAAUCAUUGGGCGUAAAGCGCGUGUAGGCGGCCCGGUAAGUCCGCUGUGAAAGUCGGGGGCUCAACCCUCGGAAGCCGGUGGAUACUGUCGGGCUCGAGUACGGAAGAGGCGAGUGGAAUUCCUGGUGUAGCGGUGAAAUGCGCAGAUAUCAGGAGGAACACCUAUUGCGAAGGCAGCUCGCUGGGACGUUACUGACGCUGAGACGCGAAAGCGUGGGGAGCAAACAGG
rnacentral:rRNA from 1 species